AAAGUUAAAAAUGACCUGAACAAAUAACAAAAAAAUGCUGAAAGAUUACCUGGACAAGCUAAAUGGAAUAGAGAAGUCCACUGAAGACAUUUCAGGGGUACUUGAUCCUGAAUGUGAGAAAGGGAUACCAACCCAUACCGAAGAUCCAGCUGAAGAAAGCCCGCAGAGAACAAACUGUGGAUAAACUGGUGCAGGUUUAUGGGGAAGAUGGUGCUCUGGAUAUUCUCUUCAGGAUGAAACAUAAUUACCUUGCAGCAAAGUUAACUGAAGGGAUGCCCUUACGGCAUUAUACAUGACACUGAACCUAUAAUGAAAGCUACAGAGACAGAAGUCAAGUUGAUCCAUCAGGAGGUCACAGAAAUGACUCAUAUCAGACUCCAAGAACAUCAAGGAAAAGCAGAAAGAUAGAAAAGAGAAGAAGAUUAAGGACAACUUUGAAGAUCUUCAUCUCUUCAUACAGAGAAGAGGCAACCAGAAUAGCGGCUUUAGAAGAUGAAGAGACUCAGAAGAUUUGUAUGAUGCAGUCGCUUGCAGAGAUGAGCAGAAACACAUUCUCACUUUCUGACAGUGUAAAAAACAUGACCUUUAGGACUGAAAUGGAAAGGUGCAUAUUAUUCAUCCUCUUUUCUUGUGUUUCUGAGCAUUUGCCUUCAGUAAAGUUAUUAAAGGAUUGAAACUAUUUCUGUCUUAAAACAACUUUCACCAUAAUGAUUAUAGUGACCAAUAACUCUUUGACGUGCUGUACAUGUACACUCUUAGUCCUAUUUCCGAAUGAACUGAAGUAAAUAUUUUAAAUGAUA